AGGCAGUUAUCUCACCAAAUGAUAAAAUUCUAAAUAUUUAUUUUUUUUUGUUUCAAAGUUUGCAAAUUAUACAUUUUCAUCUAUUUUCUUCUGGAGUUCAGAAAUGCAAUCACUCAAAAUCACUUCGAGAGUUUGCAAAUUAUAAAUUUGCUAAAAGGCUUUAGUAUGUUAAAAAAUUUAGAGCUUGUAGGUCAUGAUUGGGAGCAAUUCUAAAGUUAAGCGUUUGAA
rnacentral:lncRNA from 1 species